rnacentral:rRNA from 1 species
GAGACCGAUAGUGAACUAGUACCGUGAGGGAAAGGUGAAAAGAACCCUGAACAAGGGAGUGAAAAAGAUCCUGAAACCGUGUGUUUACAAGCGGUCGAAGCCUUAGGGCGACGGCGUGCCUUUUGCAUAAUGAUCCUACGAGUUACUCCUCAUUGGCAAGGUUAAGUCUUUAAGGGACGAAUCCGAAGCGAAAGCGAGUCUGAAUAGGGCGACAUAGUCAGUGGGGGUAGACGCGAAACCUUGUGAUCUACCCAUGGCCAGGUUGAAGUUUUGGUAACACAAAAUGGAGGACCGAACUCAUAUACGUUGAAAAGUGUUGAGAUGAGCUGUGGGUAGGGGUGAAAGGCCAAUCAAACUAGGAAAUAGCUCGUACUCCCCGAAAUGUUUUUAGGAACAGCGUGG